CCUACGGGAGGCAGCAGUGAGGAAUAUUGGUCAAUGGACGUGAGUCUGAACCAGCCAAGUCGCGUGAGGGAUGAAGGCUCUAUGGAUUGUAAACCUCUUUUAUAAGGGAAUAAAACGCGGGACGUGUGCCGUUUUGCAUGUACCUUAUGAAUAAGGAUCGGCUAACUCCGUGCCAGCAGCCGCGGUAAUACGGAGGAUCCGAGCGUUAUCCGGAUUUAUUGGGUUUAAAGGGUGCGUAGGCGGGUUUUUAAGUCAGCUGUGAAAGUCUGUGGCUCAACCGUAGAAUUGCCGUUGAAACUGGCAGGCUUGAGUAUGUUUGAGGUAGGCGGAAUGCGUGGUGUAGCGGUGAAAUGCUUAGAUAUCACGCAGAACCCCGAUUGCGAAGGCAGCCUGCUAGGCCGUGACUGACGUUGAUGCACGAAAGUGUGGGUAUCAAACAGGAUUAGAUACCCUUGUAGUC
rnacentral:rRNA from 1 species